rnacentral:rRNA from 1 species
CCUGCCUUUCAGCUUGGGAUACCCGAGGGAAACCUUGGCUAAUACCGGAUAAUUGAUUUGGAGGCAUCUCCAAAUCCUAAAAGGGGCUUCAAAGCCUCACUGAAAGAUGGACCUGCGGCGCAUUAGCUAGUUGGUGAGAUAACAGCCCACCAAGGCGAGGAUGCGUAGCCGAUCUGAGAGGAUGAACGGCCACACUGGAACUGAGACACGGUCCAGACUCCUACGGGAGGCAGCAGUAGGGAGUUUUCGGCAAUGGGGGGAACCCUGACCGAGCAACGCCGCGUGAGUGAUGAAGGUCUUCGGAUUGUAAAGCUCUGUUAUAAGGGAAGAAUGAUAGCUAGAGGAAAUGCUAGUUGUUUGACGGUACCUUAUUAGAAAGCCACGGCUAACUACGUGCCAGCAGCCGCGGUAAUACGUAGGUGGCAAGCGUUAUCCGGAAUUAUUGGGCGUAAAGAGUGAGCAGGCGGCAGGAUAAGUUUGAAGUGAAAGCGUGGGGCUCAACCCCAUACAGCUCCAAAAACUGUUCAGCUAGAGUGCCGAGAGAGGUAAAUGGAAUUCCAUGUGUAGCGGUGAAAUGCGUAGAUAUAUGGAGGAACACCAGUGGCGAAGGCGAUUUACUAGCUCGAUACUGACGCUCAGUCCCGAAAGCGUGGGGAGCAAAUAGGAUUAGAUACCCCUAGUUAUCCACGCUGUAAACGAUGACAACUA